rnacentral:rRNA from 1 species
GCUGACGACCGGCGCACGGGUGCGUAACGCGUAUAGAACCUACCUUAUAUUGGGGGAUAGCCCAGAGAAAUUUGGAUUAAUACCCCAUAGUAUCAUCGAUUGGCAUCGCUUGAUGAUUAAAGAUUUAUCGAUAUAAGAUGGCUAUGCGUUCUAUUAGCUAGUUGGUAUGGUAACGGCAUACCAAGGCUACGAUAGAUAGGGGUCCUGAGAGGGAGAUCCCCCACACUGGUACUGAGACACGGACCAGACUCCUACGGGAGGCAGCAGUGAGGAAUAUUGGACAAUGGAGGCAACUCUGAUCCAGCCAUGCCGCGUGCAGGAAGACUGCCCUAUGGGUUGUAAACUGCUUUUAUAGAGGAAGAAACCCCCCGACGUGUCGGGGUCUGACGGUACUCUACGAAUAAGGAUCGGCUAACUCCGUGCCAGCAGCCGCGGUAAUACGGAGGAUCCAAGCGUUAUCCGGAAUCAUUGGGUUUAAAGGGUCCGUAGGCGGAUUUGUAAGUCAGUGGUGAAAGUUUGCGGCUCAACCGUAAAAUUGCCAUUGAUACUGCAAGUCUUGAAUGAUUGUGAAGUGGUUAGAAUAUGUAGUGUAGCGGUGAAAUGCAUAGAUAUUACAUAGAAUACCGAUUGCGAAGGCAGAUCACUAACAAUGUAUUGACGCUAAGGGACGAAAGCGUGGGUAGCGAACAGGAUUAGAUACCCUGGUAGUCCACGCCGUAAACGAUGGUCACUAGCUGUUUGGACUUCGGUCUGAGUGGCUAAGCGAAAGUGAUAAGUGACCCACCUGGGGAGUACGUUCGCAAGAAUGAAACUCAAAGGAAUUGACGGGGCCCGCACAAGCGGUGGAGCAUGUGGUUUAAUUCGAUGAUACGCGAGGAACCUUACCAGGCUUAAAUGUAG